GGCCCUAUCGUCUAGCCUGGUCCAGGACAUAUCCCUCUCACGGAUAGAACAGGGGUUCAAAUCCCCUUGGGGUCA
rnacentral:tRNA from 1 species